GAGACUAACGAGAUUAACGACUAACAUCUUUUGAGCACUCACUGUGUGCCAGGACCUGCUUUCAACGCUUUAGAGGAAUCCGCACCUUAUCCCUAUUUAGCCCCAUUUCACAGACGAAGAAAUUGAGGCACAGAGAGUUUAAAUAAAAUGCCCGAGACUGCUGCACCCAAGCUCCUCCCACAGAGAGUUUCCGGAGACAGCAGGCUGGCGGGUUCGUGCUUGCCCGGUUCCCAGCGUUGAACACAAGGUGAGGAAACACUGCAGGUUUCGUAGGAUCCGGUUGGGUGAAGACUGGCCCUUCCCAGCGCCGCGGGAGACGCGGGAAGACCCAGCCUGGCCAGCGGUGGCGGCUCCAGAAUCUGCAGAAGGCCUGGGUAGCCGGGGCAGGUGGAGGCGCCGGGCUGGGGCUUGCAUUUUAUACGAGAUUAAGGCGUCAAAGUGGCACCGCCAACGACUGGGAAGGCACGUGAGAACCUAGGGCACCUCUUACUCCCAACUGAGACAGACUGGGAUCCCCAGGUGCAGCAGGGAUGAGGCGGGGGACUGUUAAAGCCGCUCCACUACAUCUGCCGGGAGAAAGCCCUUUUCCCAAAGAGGCUGAUGGGGCUUCUCCUCCAAACAUGAUGAACCAGCUGGAGACCCCCCUCCCGAAGCCUUCUUGCCCUCACAAGAAAUGCUUCCAAAAAAAGUGAAUCCGAGAAGUUUGGAGUGUGAUCUGUACAUGGAGCAAUGGCGUGAGGUCAUUCGGGCUCCGUUUCUGCCCCUCACGGUCACAGCGCUGUCAACUGCUUAUUCACUUGCGGUUCAGGUGCGGGGGUGCGCAGAACACCGGAGGGAGCACCAGCUGUGUCUGGAGUUGAGUUUAACCGUUACAAAAUGUUACCAAACUUGAAACAGAUGCCUGUAGUUGAAUCUGGGUGUGUUGGGAGCCAAGUGUAUGAUGAAGUUCUCUGCAUUAGCUUCCAUGCAGAACACAAUGUUUAUUACAGGAAAAGUAGUUUUAAAAUGUUUUAAUAGCCUAUUAUUAAAACUUAACAGUAACUACAGUGACUAUUUAGAACCUAGACU